UACAGAGGUCCCAAGCGUUGUUCGGAUUCACUGGGCGUAAAGGGUGCGUAGGUGGUGAGGUAAGUCGGAUGUGAAAUCUCCGAGCUCAACUCGGAAAUGGCAUUGGAAACUACCUUGCUCGAGGGUUGGAGGGGGGACUGGAAUGCUUGGUGUAGCAGUGAAAUGCGUAGAUAUCAAGCGGAACACCAGUGGCGAAGGCGAGUCCCUGGACACUCCUGACACUGAGGCACGAAAGCUAGGGGAGCAAACAGGUAGAUAC
rnacentral:rRNA from 1 species